GAUGAACGCUAGCUACAGGCUUAACACAUGCAAGUCAAGGGGAAACGACAUCGAAAGCUUGCUUUUGAUGGGCGUCGACCGGCGCACGGGUGAGUAACGCGUAUCCAACCUGCCCAUCACUCGGGAAUAACCUUGCGAAAGUAAGACUAAUACCCAAUGACAUCCCACGAAGACAUCUGAAUGGGAUUAAAGAUUUAUCGGUGAUGGAUGGGGAUGCGUCUGAUUAGCUUGUUGGCGGGGUAACGGCCCACCAAGGCAACGAUCAGUAGGGGUUCUGAGAGGAAGGUCCCCCACAUUGGAACUGAGACACGGUCCAAACUCCUACGGGAGGCAGCAGUGAGGAAUAUUGGUCAAUGGGCGAGAGCCUGAACCAGCCAAGUAGCGUGCAGGAUGACGGCCCUAUGGGUUGUAAACUGCUUUUAUAAGGGAAUAAAGUGGGUCUCGUGAGACUUUUUGCAUGUACCUUAUGAAUAAGGACCGGCUAAUUCCGUG
rnacentral:rRNA from 1 species